rnacentral:sRNA from 1 species
CGCUGGUCUCCACGGUUGGGAGCAUGGUGUUCAACGAGGGCGAGGCCCAGCGGCUCAUCGAGAUCCUGUCUGAGAAGGCUGGCAUCAUUCAGGACACCUGGCACAAGGCCACUCAGAAGGGUGACCCUGUGGCGAUUCUGAAACGCCAGCUGGAAGAGAAGGAAAAACUGCUGGCCACAGAACAGGAAGAUGCGGCUGUCGCCAAGAGCAAACUGAGGGAGCUCAACAAGGUACAGCCUGAGUGGGCUCAGAGAUGGCUUGUCCUCUCCCAUCCUCAGAGGAUCCCCGCCCCAUCCACGGUGGAUCCCGGGCUCCGAGAUGCUGGGGCCUGCCUGGAACGUAGCUGGCUGUCAGGCCGCUGAGUGGGGACUGCCGCUUAUCUGCUGCCUAAAGAGCCGAGGGCCGGCGGCUCACCCUUGGCAGUGCUCGUGGCUCUACGGCGUGGUGGCUUCCUUCGUGGCUGUAAGAACGCAGGGAAGUGAAGCAAGGGUUUGGAAGUUAAGCAGCAUCAGUUUGUGAUGGGGAUGGACCAGAUCUGGCUUUCACUAGACAGGUCCUGCAGUCACAGGCCAGCUUUCUAGG